rnacentral:lncRNA from 10 species
GUGGUGCUUUGUAGCACAGCCCCAGUUUAACCAUGGCACCCCACAGCCUCCUGGAAGUUGCGGGGUUGGGGUACAAGGGACACCCCGCCAUGAAGGCUGGUGCUCAGCCAAGGCAACGUGGCCACGGCACCUGUCUUUAUGCAAGAGGAUUGAACGUGGAAACAUACUUCUUAGAAGAGAAAACUCUGAAGACUUUAAAAUGAAACUAUCCCUGAGUGGAGCUUCCUUUUUGAGGACGGUGAGCAGGAUCCACACUCGGCGCCCCCCAGGCCAACUGAAGGUGUCUCUGACCCCACCACGGGCUCCUAGGCUGCUGCAGGUCAGCCCCACCUCCCCACCCCAGUUCAGUUUCCAGUUUCUUUUCUUAGCGUUUUUAUUACUUGUAAGGAGUAGCAUUUCAUGACUUUUAUUCUUUCUUGGAGGUUCUCUCCUCCAAGAACGAGAAAAUUGAAGCCAAAAAAAGAAAAUUCCUUCUAUCCUGUGGUUGUCUGUUGGGUCUCUGUGGUCUUUCCUAUGUCUUGAAUCAUUUUGCUUUUUCACGAUUCCAGUACUAUUUCAUCCUUGCUCAUUGGUUAUUCCCAACUCUGCUAAAAAGGACGAUAUCGGAAGGGAAGAAUGGCGGAGUCGUCUCGCAGGAUGGCGCACGCGUCAAAGAAAUGGCCCUGAUUGCGUGGUCUUUCGGUGCCCACUGUUUUGGCCAAAGCGUCCCAUGGUCGUCCCGGGGCACACGGGGUCUGGAGAUGCCACCCUGCCACCUUCGCAAUCCUGUCAGCUGGUUUGUUUUGUGAACAGAGUAGAGAUUUCAGAAGUUGUCUAUAACGGCAAAGAACAGAACAGUGACGUGGGGGCGUUUCACACUCAGAUGGGUCCGGGGGUAAAUGUGGGGGGUGCAGGGGGAGGACUCUGAGUGAAGUCUUGGGCCGUGCGUCUUCAUGUGGGUUGCCCGGUGUGCCUUUCACGCUGAGAACUGGGCAGUGAGGACAGCAAGGAGAUGCAGCUCCUCCCCGGGAGCCCUGAGGAGGGAAGGGUGUCACCACGCCGUGUGCACAGCCACACUGGGACUGGCGCAUUUUGCCAGCAAGAAGGUGACAGCGUUCUGCCGUCUUUUGGGCAUUUGAGGCUCAAACUUUCCUUGACAAGGUCCGUGGAUUAUCUCUGAAAUGACAAGAAACACGCAGGGCUCCACGAGGGCCCUGCACACAGCAGCAUGGCUGUGGCCAUUCUUCCUGCUGCGCCGAGAUGAAGGUCAGUGCUGGGUCACCUGGGUUGAUCUGGAAGAGGUGGAAUCCCGGGCCUCUAGAAAGAUA